CCUACGGGAGGCAGCAGUGAGGAAUAUUGGUCAAUGGUCGGGAGACUGAACCAGCCAAGCCGCGUGAGGGAUGAAGGUACAGAGUAUCGUAAACCUCUUUUGUCAGGGAACAAAGGCGGGGACGUGUCCCCGGCUGAGUGUACCUGAAGAAAAAGCAUCGGCUAACUCCGUGCCAGCAGCCGCGGUAAUACGGAGGAUGCGAGCGUUAUCCGGAUUUAUUGGGUUUAAAGGGUGCGCAGGCGGUCUGUUAAGUCAGCGGUCAAAGCCCGGGGCUCAACCCCGGCCCGCCGUUGAAACUGGCAGUCUCGAGUUGGAGAGAAGUAUGCGGAAUGCGCGGUGUAGCGGUGAAAUGCAGAGAUAUCGCGCAGAACUCCGAUUGCGAAGGCAGCAUGCCGGCUCCACACUGACGCUGAGGCACGAAAGCGUGGGUAUCGAACAGGAUUAGAUACCCGGGUAGUC
rnacentral:rRNA from 1 species